GACGAACCGAGCGAACGUUAUUCGGAAUCACUGGGCUUAAAGGGCGCGUAGGCGGGCGAUCAAGUCAGGGGUGAAAGCCCCCAGCUCAACUGGGGAAGUGCCUCUGAUACUUCAGGCCUCGAGGGAGGUAGGGGCGUGCGGAACUUCCGGUGGAGCGGUGAAAUGCGUAGAUAUCGGAAGGAACACCGGUGGCGAAAGCGGCGCGCUGGACCUCUUCUGACGCUGAGGCGCGAAAGCCAGGGGAGCGAACGGG
rnacentral:rRNA from 1 species